CAAACCAUCCAAAGAAACGAAACUUCCAGGUGGUAGAGUGGUAAGACAGAAAGGCCUAGAGACAAGACUAACUCUCUACUCUUUCAUUGGGCGUACUUGUAUAAUAUACAAGUACACCCACUGAAAGAGUAGUGAGUUAGUCUUAUCUAUAUUAUAAGGUUUACGGUUUAAGUUGUGACUGGUGUAGUACUUAGUCUUGAUUCAAGUUGCACAAACUCAUUUCCUUUGCAGUGACACAUUUAAAGGACAGUAAAAACAACUGUCCUUAUAUAAAAAACAAAACAAAAAAACUUGAAUCAAAACUAAGAACUGUGCCGUCACUAUACUUUGAGUAGAUGGUGAAGUCUCAUGUGCAAUCUUUUUGUUUUGUCUUCCAUAGUAUCCUGCUCUUCCUAAAGUGGAUGUUGUGACGAGUGCUUGAGUAUUGAAACCAAGAAAUUGAGCUGAAAACUCCUUUUGGUGAUCCUGAUACAAGGACAGAGGUCAGCGGGCCCAGUGACCUCGGUCCUUGUAUCCCGCGCGGGGUGUGUAUUUGUUUUCCUAAGACAGAUGAGGCCGCUUACCAUAAGACGCAUGCUUAGUGGCCUUAUCUGUCCUGGGAAAAAAAAUACGCGCGCAGGGUCAAUGAAGCCAGGUGGUUGUGGCAACGGUUAAGUAUCAGGUUAAGUAUUGGGUAAAGUAUGUGUGAGGUUGGGUGACAAAAUCUUGCCCUUCACAGCUUAAGUUUCCUAAAAAGAAGGGUUCAUGUGAAUGCGAUACUAGUUUUGACGUCACAUAGCCCUGUUUUCACUGUGAAUGUUUCGCAUGAGUUGCAGUCCAGCUCUUCCGAAUCAUUUAGUUCAAAUUUGUGCAUCAAAACUUGUACCGCAUUUGCAUUGGUUGGGAGUAUAUGAACCGUGCUUAACCCUGUUUUUGUUUUCUAUUGUCUGUUUGCAGCUACUGCAGAAGUGGAUGUUGUAGCAAGGAAUCAUUCACUGAUGACAACUGGGAAACCGUAGGUUGCAUUGGUAAAGUAUAAGGCACUUUCUAUAAGGUUAUCUGUGGUGAACUUGAAUUUGGCGAAAGCCAGAUUCAUACUUCCUGUGAAUUUGAAGUGCAUUUUGAUGUCACGGCUGUUUUCUCACGAUGUUUCGCAGGAGUUGAAAAUAGUUCAACUGUUGCAAAUUGUUCGUUGCUAGUUUGUUACGUCAGUUAUUAGCUUAUUUGCAUUGGCUGGAAGUAUAAACCAGGCUUACUUGAUGUGACCCCAAAAUGCUUACCUUUCAAGAUUUAAGUAUUCCUUACAGAAAGCAGAGCAUUCUUUGUUCCUGAAGUUGAUGAAGGGAUUUGUGUGCUGACAUUUUGAACUGUGUUGAGGUGAUGACUACCAACAAAGACUGGAUGGGGUCAUGCAAAAGGUUUGGUGAAAUAUAUCGAGACUUGCAAGUUACUGGUGAAGAAAUUAUUUUAGUUCCUUCAAAAUGGCACAUCUCUAGAAAUUUUGAGAAUUAUAAACAAAUCUAAACAUCCUAGAAGUUUUGGAAACAAAAACAGUUUUUAGAAUCUUGCAUAAAAUCUCUGAACAAGACACAAGCAAAAAGUAUAGUAAAAACAAGCAGAAAGAGUACUAGCAUCGUUUGAGAUUCGACAUCCAUGGACAACCAGCAAACCAGCAAUAAAACUUUUUAUUGGUUCACAAAAACUUGAGAAUGAAAUAACUUGGUCUAUAAAAAUUGUGUUUUGUACAAUUCCCCAAAACUUCAACAGUUCCCGGAGCAAUGGAAGUCAUCUCUUCGUAAUGUACGGUGAACCUGAAUUUGAUAAAAGCCAUGUUAAUACUUCCUACAAAUUCAAAGCUAAUUUGACAUCAGUUUGUUUUAUGUCAAUAUUCGCAUUUGCAGGAAGUAUGAACCAGGCUUGCUUGAUGUGAUCCCAAAAUGAUAACCUUUCUAGAUUUAAGUUUUUCUUACAGAAAGAAGAUCAUUCUUUGUUCCUGAUAUGGUGAAGAAAUUUGUCUGCUUAACAUUUCCAACUGUGUUGAGGUGAUGUCUACCAAUAAGGACUGGGGUCAUGCAAAAGGUUUGGUGAAAUGUAUCGAGUUUUACAAGUUACUGGUGACAAAAGUACCUCCAAAAUGGGACAUCUCAAGACAUUUUGAGAAUUAUAGAAGAAAUCUAACCAUCAGUUUAUUCUUGAAAUUUCGGGGGGAAAAUAAGUUUUGAAUCUUGCAAACAAAUCUCUGAACAAGACAGAAGCAAAAAGUAUAGUAAAAACAAGCAGAAAGAAUACUAGCAUCGUUUGAGAUUCGACAUCCAUCGACAACCAUCGACAAAUCAUCAAUAACAGUUUUUUUUUUUUCAAUAAAUCUUGAGAAUGAAAUAACUUGCCCUAAACAAAUUGCGUUUUGUACAGUCUCCUAAAGCUGCAACAAUUCCUGGAGCAAUGGAAGUCAGCUCUUCUUUCAAUUUAUCACAGAAAUUUAUGAACCCACGAUGACAGAUUGGUCUGUCUUUACUUUUCUAUUUCCUCAGUUGAGAAGUCUUUUGACUACAACAGGAGCUUGGAAUGAGCAUCGGUGGAGGAUACAGUGUGUACCAUUCUGGAUACCGAGAGCGUCUUGAGUAAAGGCUACAUUCUCAUGUGUCAUGGCUACUACCUGUUGUGAUGUCAAUUGUGGAAGAUACAGAUGCAAAUUGACUCAAGAUAAACCACUUGAUAGAUAGAGACAAGUGACCUUGGAGAUGACAUACAUGAGGUUAAUCAAUAAUCAUAAAGAAGGACUGUGUCAAGUUUAGCAAGAUGACUCUCCACUACAAGUUCAACCGUUCAAGUUAUGCGAGGGAUGCUGAGGCUAUAACCAAUGUAUUUCAGACUUUGUGCCAUGAGCUGAAGGACUGUGUCAAGUUUAGCCAGAUGACUCUUUGUUGUGCCCGAGUGACAGAGGGAUGUUGAGGCUAAGCAACAAUUUUUCAACGAUGUUCCACCAUCUAACUGUCUACAGCGAGAUGAAAUCUGCUAUAAUUUCAACUGUUGCAAUGGCAUAUGGAUAUUCAAUAUUCAUGUUAAGCAGUGCUUCUUGGACAGUGUGCCACAAGCCGAAGAAUUGUGACAAUUCUAGCCAAAUUAUGACUUGUUGCUACAAGGAUGCGAGGACGAGAGAUUUUUGGAUGGUGUGCCGUUACCUGGAGGAUUAUGUUAUGUCUAACUAUGACUCGCUGAAGUUCAACCAUUGAAUUGGUAUAGGGAUUGUUGAGGCUGCAACAACUUUGCCAUCCACUGAUAAGACUGUAGUCUAGGACUCUAGGCAUUUGAUUCGCCAAGCGUUGACUGAAACAAUUAGCUGGACAAUGACCGCGACUUAAUGUAUAAAGACACUUAAGAAGAGGACCCAUCUUUUAGGCCGCAUCUGAGUUUGUGACUGCAGAGUGGCUGUGGCUGUUGCUGUUGCUGUUGCUAUGGGCCUCAUAAUAUUAUGCGUAAGGCAUGAUCAAGUCACAGCCACAUCGGCAGCCACUAACUCUGCCAUAGUUUAACAUUACUCAUCAAUAGGCUUUUCUUGAAUCCAUCAAACUCCUACCAAUGUACAAUGUAAAACCACAUCAGGGCCCAAUUUCAUAAAGCUGUUCAGCAGAAAAUUCUGCUAAGCAAAUUUCUGCGCUAUGUAAGAGAUGACAGGGGUUACCAGUCCCAGCAGUGGUAACUGUAGUCCUCCGACUGGUAACAAGUUUUUUUUGCUAAUAAAAUUUUGUUGUGUGCCAAGCAAGUUGUUGUGCAACAAGCUUUAUGAAAUUGGGCCAAGUUGAUUUAAAAGUGGAUGCCUUGGCUCAUGCCAUGCAUCGUUGGUUUAUCAGAAUAAGAUUAAUUACAUUCAGUACAAAACCCGUACGAUUUUGAUGGAUUCACAGUGGUUAGGAAUAGAACUUAAAAAAUGGUACAGCUUCUGUCUUCAGACAAGAAAAAUCAAAAUUUGUAAGCGCAAUAUGUAAGCGCAACUUAUAAUGAAGUGAUUUUGCUUCAUGGAACACUCUGACUGAAAAUGUAAAAAACAUUGGUCACAUUCUUUGCAACUGGAGAAUUAAAUUAAUAUUAAUUAAUUAUACAUCUUCAGAUAGCAAAAGCUGUACCACCAAAAAAAAAUUGUAAACUAAGGAGAAUUAUGUGCUUGUCUGUGAUUAAAUUCAAAGUCAUAAAAACAUUUUUAGAAACCAUGGCAAGAAAUGCUCAUAAUGUUGUAGAAAAACGCCUAAGAUGAUCGAGGGAAGAUAAUCAGACAAAAUUGUCCCACCUGGGUCUUUGGAUUGGGCCCAAGUUUAAAAAGCUGUGUUUAAAAGCAGAAAAAAACUGCUGAGCAAACUUCUUUUCUUAUCAAGAAAAUGGGCAUGGCACCAGUCACAACAAUACAAACUUCAUGGACUUUUGGCUGGUAACCAUUCCUGCUAAGCAAACUGUGCUGAACAAGUUUUUGCAGUGUAUACAUUUUUGUUUUUAAAAUGGGUAAAAUUUAUGAUCAUUUUGGUUAACUUUGUAAGAUUCUAAAAACCAGUUCACUCUUAAUCAAAACAACACUUAGUCAUACGCGACAUAAUUUUGACUAACUUACAUCAAAGUCAUGUCUCAUUAUGACUUAUUAGUGUUGUUUUGACUAAUGUAUUUUUAUCUACACACCUGUACCAAAGCACACUGCUUAUUAUGAAAUAUCAUUCAAAGAUGUGUGGGAAUUUUCAAAUUGUACACUUGAGCGCAAAUAGACAGACACAUUUCCAUGAAGACAUUUGCAAGAAAAUUUUGGUAUGUUGCAGAGCGAACACAAACCUACACCACAAUUACAGCACUAAGGCUCAGUUUCACAAAGGGCUAAGAUUUAUCAUAAAUUAUCAAUCUUAAUUGCUAGGCAGAGUGUGAUGUCAUGAAAUCACUACUAGCUUAUUUUAAGAUGAGUCUUGGUGUUUAUUGAAACCAUGCCCAUCAGCACUCCAUAACCCUUACCCUAACACUGAACUAAAAACUUCAUUCUUUAAUCUAACCUCUGCACUAAACCAUAACAAUGUCACUCAAUAAUGUUUCAUUUGAACACUUAAUCCAUGCACCAACCUCUGUUCAAUCUGCCCAAUGCAAAAAUAGUAACAAUCAUUUUAUAAAAACAAAAUGUGUCCACUUGCGCUCAAAAACAAUGUUGUGUUUAUUUACUAAGGUUAUUUGAAGUAGGCCUAAUGACUGUAGCAGCUAGACCAUAAAAUACAUUUAUUUAUUUAAUAAUUUCUAAUUGGUGUUUUCUAUGACUGUAUGGGGGAAGGGGGAGGGGGGGGGGGCGUAAGUUAAAAUGACACAUGAAUGGUUUAUCGUCAAGUAUAUAAAAAUGAAAUUAAGUUUGGUAAUAAUAUUCUUUAAUCUGAGAGCUACCUCGCAGGCCCAGUUUGAGAAGGGCACUUCCAUUGGGAAAUUUUAAAGUCUAUGGGAAAAAUCAUUGAAGGUUGCCGCUAGGCCAGGGCCCAACCAAGAUCUGUGCUAAAGUAGCAGCAAUAUAAUAUGUCAAAUAAUCUUAAUAUUUUUAAAAUUGGCUGUUUCUAGCCAUAACUGUUGUUUUUUUAUAAUGUAUGGAGGUUGCCUUUUGAGGAUGAAUAAAGUUUGUUGAAUUGAA